AACGAACGCUGGCGGCAUGCUUAACACAUGCAAGUCGAACGAGACCUUCGGGUCUAGUGGCGCACGGGUGCGUAACGCGUGGGAACCUGCACUUAGGUUCGGAAUAACUCCCCGAAAGGGGUGCUAAUACAGCAUAAUGUCUUAGGACCAAAGAUUUAUCGCCUUUGGAUGGGCCCGCGUUGGAUUAGCUAGUUGGUAGGGUAAAAGCCUACCAAGGCGACGAUCCAUAGCUGGUCUGAGAGGAUGAUCAGCCACACUGGGGCUGAGACACGGCCCAGACUCCUACGGGAGGCAGCAGUGGGGAAUAUUGGACAAUGGGCGCAAGCCUGAUCCAGCCAUGCCGCGUGAGUGAUGAAGGCCUUAGGGUUGUAAAGCUCUUUUACCAGGGAUGAUAAUGACAGUACCGGGAGAAUAAGCUCCGGCUAACUCCGUG
rnacentral:rRNA from 1 species